rnacentral:rRNA from 1 species
AACGAACGCUGGCGGCGUGCCUAACACAUGCAAGUCGAGCGCGAAUGGGAGCAAUCCCUAGUAGAGCGGCGCACGGGUGCGUAACACGUGGGUAAUCUACCUGGAAGACUGGGAUAACCAGCCGAAAGGUUGGCUAAUACCGGAUAAGCUCACAGGGUCUUGCGGACCUGGUGAGAAAAGGUGGCCUCUGCAUGCAAACUAUCACUUCCAGAUGAGCCCGCGGCCCAUCAGCUUGUUGGCGGGGUAAUGGCCCACCAAGGCGACGACGGGUAGCUGGUCUGAGAGGACGAUCAGCCACACUGGAACUGAGACACGGUCCAGACUCCUACGGGAGGCAGCAUG